GCGGGGGGGGCAAGCGUUGUUCGGAUUUACUGGGCGUAAAGGGCGCGCAGGCGGCUUUUCAAGUCAGGCGUGAAAGCCCCGGGCUUAACCUGGGAACUGCGUCUGGGACUGAAGGGCUAGAGUUCGGGAGAGGAGAGUGGAAUUCCCAGUGUAGAGGUGAAAUUCGUAGAUAUUGGGAAGAACACCGGUGGCGAAGGCGGCUCUCUGGACCGAGACUGACGCUGAGGCGCGAAAGCGUGGGUAGCAAACGGGA
rnacentral:rRNA from 1 species